GCGCUCGUAGCUCAGUUGGAUAGAGCAACGGACUUCUAAUCCGUAGGUCGCUGGUUCGAAUCCAGCCGGGCGUG
rnacentral:tRNA from 1 species